rnacentral:rRNA from 1 species
UACGUAGGGUGCGAGCGUUGUCCGGAAUUAUUGGGCGUAAAGGGCUCGUAGGCGGUUUGUCACGUCAGGAGUGAAAACUCGGGGCCCAACCCCGAGCCUGCUUCUGAUACGGGCAGACUGGAGGUAUGCAGGGGAGAACGGAAUUCCUGGUGUAGCGGUGAAAUGCGCAGAUAUCAGGAGGAACACCGAUGGCGAAGGCAGGUCUCUGGGCCAUUACUGACACUGAGAAGCGAAAGCAUGGGGAGCGAACAGG